UACGGAGGAUGCGAGCGUUAUCCGGAUUUAUUGGGUUUAAAGGGUGCGUAGGCGGAUCGUUAAGUCAGUGGUCAAAUUGAGGGGCUCAACCCCUUCCCGCCAUUGAAACUGGCGAUCUUGAGUGGAAGAGAAGUAUGCGGAAUGCGUGGUGUAGCGGUGAAAUGCAUAGAUAUCACGCAGAACCCCGAUUGCGAGGGCAGCAUGCCGGCUUCCGACUGACGCUGAAGCACGAAAGCGUGGGGAUCGAACAGG
rnacentral:rRNA from 1 species